rnacentral:rRNA from 1 species
CCUACGGGUGGCAGCAGUCGAGAAUCAUUCACAAUGGGGGAAACCCUGAUGGUGCGACGCCGCGUGGGGGAAUGAAGGUCUUCGGAUUGUAAACCCCUGUCAUGUGGGAGCAAAUUAAAAAGAUAGUACCACAAUAGGAAGAGACUGCUAACUCUGUGCCAGCAGCCGCGGUAAUACAGAGGUCUCAAGCGUUGUUCGGAAUCACUGGGCGUAAAGCGUGCGUAGGCUGUUUCGUAAGUCGUGUGUGAAAGGCGCGGGCUCAACCCGCGGACGGCACAUGAUACUGCGAGACUAGAGUAAGGGAGGGGGAACCGGAAUUCUCGGUGUAGCAGUGAAAUGCGUAGAUAUCGAGAGGAACACUCGUGGCGAAGGCGGGUUCCUGGACAGUAACUGACGCUGAGGCACGAAGGCCAGGGGAGCGAAAGGGAUUAGAUACCCGAGUAGUC